rnacentral:lncRNA from 15 species
AUGACACAGCAUCGGGAGCAAUUCGGGGUUCAGUAUCUUGACAGGGAUCGAACCAUCAACCUUCCGAUUAGUGGACGACCCACUCUACCUCUGUGCCUACCUCUUGUCAAUUAUUUCUUUGUUGUGUCAUCACUGUGUUCAGUAUUGUUUACUGAACCACACACUCUCACCUCUUUUCUGCCAGACCCUGCCUCCAACGAAAUAAAAGAGUCUCCAAACAACCAGGUCUGGUGGUUAUGGAGAAUUAUGGACAACCUGGCAGCAAAUAAGAGCCACAUACCCUGUCAGUCGUGGGCGGGCCAGAAUGGCUGGUCCACAACUUCAAUGCAAGGAUCCCUCUUCAACCCGCUGGCCAGCUCUCAGCAUCUCAGCCUGGGCUCGUCUUCUGACCAAAGACCCUCCUACAACCACCUGCAGGCGCCCAAUCUGAGCUGUAUGAACGACAUGAGCACCUUAUCAUCCGCUCAUCACUCUGCCCUGUACAAAGCCUCUCACAUUAACAACAAUUCGUCAUCCACUACGCUGUUUGCAAACACUGCUAUCCCGAGUUCUUCUCACAGUAUUUCCUUUGCUCAGCAAAGCCCUCACACCUCAUCAAUGCUGUUAAAUGCAAACCAAGGCAUAAACAUUCCCCAAACAAACCAAGCUCCACAGCCUUGUAGGCCCCAACAUCUACCACUCCUGCCACCCCAUGACCCUUACAAAGCAUCAGUUCAACCUCCAUUAACCAAUCAGGGUUUAUCAAACGGACUACAAGAUCUUCCCAUUAGUCUGCCGUCCUGUGGACAACGUGUAAGUACAUCUCAAGCUACUUUUGAAGGAGCGAAUGUGGAGUUUAUUGGUGUUUGUGGAUACACUCACAGCCAUGCUUCAUCCACUUCUCAGGAGCAGCAUCAGUGGAUACCUUCAUCACACUGCAGGGAAGCUGUAAACGACUCUGAUGCAACUGCUCAUCCUAACAAAGAGUCAUCGCAAGAGGGAAACAUUAAUCCACUGGCCAGCAGUGAGAGACAGCGUUCACUACUUUUACAUCAACGUGCACAACUACUGCAACAGCUGGCAGAGCUGGAUAAACAUCUGGAAUCAAUACCUCCAGAUGACAGUAGUAAUGGGCGGCCUCCACACACAGCUGUUCAGCCACAGUUGCGUCCUGCAGUGGGUUGUGGUGACAAAGAUGAGACCUGUGACGCACCAGAUGAUCCAAUGUCUACAGCUGAAUCAGUGAAAAAGAAAGAAAAAAGAAAGAAAAGAAAAAAUUCCUCAGCCGAGUCAGAGGUCGACAGUGAUCCUGAUUACCUUCCUAAUAAUAAUGAUGAUGAGCACUCUGAUUACCCAUCUGAUCCUGCCGGUGGCUUUUCAGAUGACUCUGAUCACAGCAGGCCCUCAACCCCCACUGAUGAAACGCCUUCUCUGCCAGGGAAAAAAAGGGCUAAAUCAGGGAGUUCUUCGUGUGAAGCCGAAAGCGCCAGUCCUCCGAAACCGACACAAGCAAAUAAGCAGAAGAAGUCAGAAACUGUAGUGCUGCCGACUUCAAAUACCAAAAUAAAACGCGUUUAUGACAGGAGGAAUUACUGCCCAUUUUGUUCUAAGCCAAUAUCCAAAAUGGCACGACAUCUGGAGUCGAUCCACAGCGACAAAAAAGAGGUUGCAGCCGCUUUUCAGUAUCCCAAAAGUUCCAGAGAAAGACAAAAAAUAUGGAACAGACUAAUAAAUCAAGGAAACUUUGCUCAUAAUAAAAAUGUCUUGAAAUCCGGGAAGGGCCAACUUGCUGUACGAAAAAGACCAAAGCACACUGGACAAGCCCAAGACUUUAUUCACUGCCUUUACUGUCGAGGCCUUUAUGUGAAGAAUGCUUUGUACAGACACAUGAGGCUGUGCCCAGAGAAAGCGAGGAAUGGAAAUGAAUCAAAGAUCGGAAGACCACGUAUCGCAUUGCGAUGUGUGCUUGAAACUUCAGACGACCUUGACGUAACUGACGGUUUUAGGAGCGUUCUGGCCCAGAUGACCUACAACGAUGUCACACGAGCUGUCAUGGAUGACAAGGUUAUCUUGCAGUUUGGUGAACUCUUGUAUAAUCAGCACGGAUCUGAUGUGAGGAAGCACGACUACAUAAGACAAAACCUUCGUCAGAUGGCGAGACUUGUACUCGAAGCCCAGAAAGUAACUCCUCUGACGAAACUGGAGGACUUCUUUCUCCCUUCAAACUUCUCACAUGUGGUGGCUGCAGUGAACGUCCUGGCAGGUUACAAUCCAGAAACCAAAUCGUACAGCAUUCCUUCCCUUGCCAUCAAGCUUGGCUACCACCUACAGAAGACUUGUAGCAUUGUUGAGGGUAACGCAGUUAAGUCCGGGGAUGCACGUUUGGCAGAGGCUGCACGAAACUUUCUCUCUGUGUAUCAGAAAAAAUGGAACAAGUUGAUUUCUUCGGGUGCAUUAACGACACUCAGAAAGACUAAAAUAAAAAAGGAGAAGAAGGUGCCGUUUGCUGAAGAUGUAAAGCGCCUGAACUUCUACAUGGAGUACAUUCAUCCUCUCACUGAGGAAAAACUCAGAGACAGUCCCUCUUCAGAAAACUAUGCCGCUCUGGCCAAGGUAUUACUGGCUCGAACGAUCAUCUUCAACAGGAGAAGUGCCAGAGAGGUAUCGUCGGUGCAUCUAACAGCUUUUAUGUCACGGAUAAAGUCAAGCGUGCAGACUGGCAUGGACAUAUCCGUGUCAGAUUUGGAAAGAAGGAUGUGUGGGUCCUUCACCAGAGUGGACAUACGAGGAAAGUGUGGGAGAAUGGUCCCUGUUUUACUAAAACCAUCAUUCGUGUCUUCUUUGGAGUUUCUCGUAGAAGUCCGCGAGACGUGUGGAGUCCCCAGUAAGAAUCCCUACCUGUUCGGUCGACCAAGCUCGCUCUCUUCCUACAAUGGGUCAGAGUCCCUCCAGAAAUACGUCAAAGCAUGUGGAGCUAAGAACCCUGAAGCGCUGACUUCACCAAAGAUCAGGAAGCAUUACACAACAAUGCUACAGAUGAUGAACCUGGAUGAAAAUGAGGCUUGCCAAAUUUUAGGCCCAAAUAAUCAAGUCCGAAGGCUGCGACAGGACAGCAGCAUGCACCUGGAUGACACCGAAAUGGGGUCUGAUGAGAGAUUACAAACUGCAUCAGGACAACUAGCUGCAUCAUGGGAUUACAGUGAGCAUCCCAGUGCACGCUAUGGCGCCAACAUGACUGUACCUUCAACAUCUAGAAAAUCAGGCAAAAAAGGCGCCCAAAAUCAGGGCAAACAUAAAUGGGACGAAGAAGAGGUUCUUGCUGUGGAAAGACACCUGAUGAGUUUAAUUGAGGGACACAAGGUGCCCCAGAAAAACGACUGCAUUCAGUGUCUCGAGGCUGAGCCAGAAGCACUGAGGAACCGUUCAUGGAAAGGUGUAAAGGACUACGUCAGAAACAGGAUCACUGCCCUGAAAAGACAAAGCACAACUUCCCACAAAGAGUAA